AUUGAACGCUGGCGGCAGGCCUAACACAUGCAAGUCGAGCGAGCGGCGGACGGGUGAGUAAUGUAUGGGGAUGUGCCCGAGAGGGGGGGAUAACUACGGAAAACGAGGGCUAACACCGCAUCAUCUCGGAUGAACCCAUAUGGGUUGAGCUAGUAGGUGGGGUAAAGGCUCACAUAGGAGACGAUCUCUAGCUGGUGUGAGAGGAUGACCAGCCACACUGGAACUGAGACACGGCCCAGACUCCUACGGGAGGCAGCAGUGGGGAAUAUUGCACAAUGGGCGCAAGCCUGAUGCAGCCAUGCCGCGUGUAUGAAGAAGGCCUUAGGGUUGUAAAGUACUUUCAGCGGGGAGGCGUUACCCGCAGAAGAAGCACCGGCUAACUCCGUGCCAGCCGCCGCGGUAAUAC
rnacentral:rRNA from 1 species